UUGAACGCUGGCGGCAUGCCUUACACAUGCAAGUCGAACGGCAGCACGGGUGCUUGCACCUGGUGGCGAGUGGCGAACGGGUGAGUAAUACAUCGGAACAUGUCCUGUAGUGGGGGAUAGCCCGGCGAAAGCCGGAUUAAUACCGCAUACGAUCUACGGAUGAAAGCGGGGGACCUUCGGGCCUCGCGCUAUAGGGUUGGCCGAUGGCUGAUUGGCUAGUUGGUGGGGUAAAGGCCUACCAAGGCGACGAUCAGUAGCUGGUCUGAGAGGACGACCAGCCACACUGGGACUGAGACACGGCCCAGACUCCUACGGGAGGCAGCAGUGGGGAAUUUUGGACAAUGGGCGAAAGCCUGAUCCAGCAAUGCCGCGUGUGUGAAGAAGGCCUUCGGGUUGUAAAGCACUUUUGUCCGGAAAGAAAUCCUUGGCUCUAAUACAGUCGGGGGAUGACGGUACCGGAAGAAUAAGCACCGGCUAACUACGUGCCAGCAGCCGCGGUAAUACGUAGGGUGCGAGCGUUAAUCGGAAUUACUGGGCGUAAAGCGUGCGCAGGCGGUUUGCUAAGACCGAUGUGAAAUCCCCGGGCUCAACCUGGGAACUGCAUUGGUGACUGGCAGCUAGAGUAUGGCAGAGGGGGUAGAAUUCCACGUGUAGCAGUGAAAUGCGUAGAGAUGUGGAGGAAUACCGAUGGCGAAAGCAGCCCCCUGGGCCAAUACUGACGCUCAUGCACGAAAGCGUGGGGGAGCAAACAGAUUAGAUACCCUGGUAGUCCACGCCCUAAACGAUGUCAACUAGUUGUUGGGGAUUCAUUUCCUUAGUAACGUAGCUAACGCGUGAAGUUGACCGCUGAGGAGUACGGUCGCAAGAUUAAAACUCAAAGGAAUUGACGGGGACCCGCACAAGCGGUGGAUGAUGUGGAUUAAUUUCGAUGCAACGCGAAAAACCUUACCUACCCUUGACAUGGUCGGAAUCCCGCUGAGAGGUGGGAGUGCUCGAAAGAGAACCGGCGCACAGGUGCUGCAUGGCUGUCGUCAGCUCGUGUCGUGAGAUGUUGGGUUAAGUCCCGCAACGAGCGCAACCCUUGUCCUUAGUUGCUACGCAAGAGCACUCUAAGGAGACUGCCGGUGACAAACCGGAGGAAGGUGGGGAUGACGUCAAGUCCUCAUGGCCCUUAUGGGUAGGGCUUCACACGUCAUACAAUGGUCGGAACAGAGGGUUGCCAACCCGCGAGGGGGAGCUAAUCCCAGAAAACCGAUCGUAGUCCGGAUUGCACUCUGCAACUCGAGUGCAUGAAGCUGGAAUCGCUAGUAAUCGCGGAUCAGCAUGCCGCGGUGAAUACGUUCCCGGGUCUUGUACACACCGCC
rnacentral:rRNA from 1 species